UGGGGAAUAUUGCACAAUGGGGGAAACCCUGAUGCAGCGACGCCGCGUGAGUGAAGAAGUAUCUCGGUAUGUAAAGCUCUAUCAGCAGGAAAGAUAAUGACGGUACCUGACUAAGAAGCCCCGGCUAACUACGUGCCAGCAGCCGCGGUAAUACGUAGGGGGCAAGCGUUAUCCGGAUUUACUGGGUGUAAAGGGAGCGUAGACGGCAGCGCAAGUCUGGAGUGAAAUGCCGGGGCCCAACCCCGGAACUGCUUUGGAAACUGUGCGGCUCGAGUGCGGGAGAGGUAGGCGGAAUUCCUAGUGUAGCGGUGAAAUGCGUAGAUAUUAGGAGGAACACCAGUGGCGAAGGCGGCUUACUGGACCGUAACUGACGUUGAGGCUCGAAAGCGUGGGGAGCAAACAGG
rnacentral:rRNA from 1 species